GCAUAACGCGAAGAACCUUACCUGGGUUUGACAUGCAUCUCUAAGAUAAUGAAAGUUAUCGAACUUCGGUAAUUUUGCACAGGUGCUGCAUGGCUGUCGUCAGCUCGUGUCGUGAGAUGUUGGGUUAAGUCCCGCAACGAGCGCAACCCUCAUGUUCUGUUGCCCUUCGGGGAUCUCUGAACAGACUGCCCAGGUCAACUGGGAGGAAGGUGGGGAUGACGUCAAGUCCGUAUGGCCCUUACACCCAGGGCUGCACACGUACUACAAUGCCCAGCACAAAUGGAACCGACACCGCGAGGUGAAGGAAAUCGAAAAAACUGGGCUCAGUUCGGAUCGUAGGCUGCAAUUCGCCUACGUGAAGUUGGAAUCGCUAGUAAUGGCGCAUCAGCUACGGCGCCGUGAAUACGUUCCCGGGUCUUGUACACACCG
rnacentral:rRNA from 1 species